rnacentral:misc_RNA from 1 species
GGAGGUGUUCUUGGUGAUGACAUGUAAGUGUACACAGUGUAUCAAUGUUUAUGAUCACCUAACCAAUUUUUGAUUUCAACUUUGACCAUUAGCAGUCCAUAUUCUUUCAUAGUUUCAUUAUAUGCAAUUUUCCUUGUAGGUGGCUUUAUAGGGUUAUAGUUGAUUGAGUACAAAAGUAUACUCUUUUAUGCUGAGUCUUUAAUAGAUUGGCUCAUUAUAAUUUAGGAUUUCAGUAGUGGAUGGAAAUAAUAGCAACCUAGUGAUUUUCUAAAUUAUAUUUAUGGUCUUCUAUGACCACCUUCAGCAUUGUUUCUUCAUAGACGAUAUUAUCCUUUCUUCUUUCUAUUGAUUUUGUUUGUCAUUUAGGAAUUCUCAUGUUAUAAAUGUGUGGGUAUGAAUAAGGGUAGGCUACUGGUUAAUGGAACAUAAACUUGGCUUUCCUGCAUUUAGUAUAUAAUAUAGCUGAGUUUCAUUUCAUCAGAUCGGAUUUCAUUAAAUAUUGUGACAUAUGAGUCAUAGAUUGUUGUGGAGUAUCUGCAAAGGAACUCAUUUUCUGGGAAGCUUUACCAUUGCAACUGACUGCCUCUGGGGCAAUAUUGGUGAUUUUUCUAUUUAGCAAGCGAAUAGAGGAAUUGACUACUCUUGUGCUGUAUUGAUCCCAUAUAGUUAUUUUUAAGCUUUUAGUUUGUAUGUAUAUGUAAUUAUGAAUAUGCA